rnacentral:rRNA from 1 species
UACGUAGGGGGCAAGCGUUGUCCGGAUUUAUUGGGCGUAAAGAGCGUGUAGGCGGUCAGGUAGGUCAGCUGUGAAAACUCGAGGCUCAACCUCGAGACGCCGGUUGAAACCAUCUGACUAGAGUCCGGAAGAGGAGAGUGGAAUUCCUGGUGUAGCGGUGAAAUGCGCAGAUAUAAGGAAGAACACCCGUGGCUAAGGCGGCUCUCUAGUACGGUACUGACGCUGAGACGCGAAAGCGUGGGGAGCGAACAGG